GAAAUCCCAUCAGCUCCCAACUGGAAAACAAGGAUGAGGGUCCACUCCAACGUUUCCUGUCAAGGAAAGAACAAACAGUGAGGGAAAAAAAGUAUUUGAUCCCUUGUUGAUUUUGAACGUUUGUCCACUGACAAAGAAAUGAUCAGUCUAUCAUUUUAAUGGUAGGUGUAUUUAAACAGGGAGAGACAGAUUAACCCCAAAAAAUCCAGAAAAAUGCAUGUCAAGGUAUACAUGGAUGUGCAUGUCAAUG